AGUCGUUUGUUGUGCGUCCUCGGGUCGAAAUCGUUUGUAUAAUAACGUGUUCGACGACGGUUUCUUCGGUUCGAGUGCGUAACGUGUGUUUUUGGUAUUGGAAUUUACAGUUCGGUGCGCAUGAGAGAAUAAUAUCAUAUAAGAAAAGUAAAAUAAGAAUAAAAUAUAACCAAAUAGUGUCAGCCUCAAUAUACAAACAUAUUGUGGUUUAUAUAUAUACCUAUAUAUAUAUAUAUAUAUAUAUAUAUAUAGUUUAUCAAUUAAAUCCUACUCAACAAAAGAAAAACUAAUUUAAGAGAAUAUAAUUGUUUUAAGUACAGCUAAAAUAUAUUUUCUAAUCGCAUCGUUCACAUACAAUGGCAACACUGUCUUGCACUACAACCUCGAACGCUAGCGAACCGCCGAAAAUUAGCAAAUUUUUCAAUAGCAGCUGCAAUUACCAAAGUAAAAUUCAACAAGUGAUCAGUUUUAGUUUUACCUCGUCAAAUUUCAUCUUUAUCACAUGCAUACUCAGCAUUAGUAAGUUGUGUACUGUUACUGCUGGCCCGGUACAAACUACCGCCGCUGCGAGUACAACGGACCCUACCACCACAGCCGGUCCACCAUUCGGUGCACUCAACGCUACCACGUUAUUGGAGAAAUUACAUUCGUUUGCAACAACACUUGGUCCACCUGUAACGUCCACGUCGGGGAAAUCAUCAAAAAACAGCGCAGUUGCGGCGAAUAGUGUCACCGACGGCAGUGGUUCAAUGUCGUUUUUCGGUCGCAAAAAUUUAAUAAAUCUAGAUUUUAAAUUUCUAAAUGUCUCCGGCAAAAUUGGCACACCAUUAAGCAUUGCACAGAGCAUAGCAAAAAUCUGCGAAGAGAAACAAUUUCAGUGUGGCAACGGUGCCUGUAUACCCAUCCGCUUCACCUGCGAUGGCGAAUCAGACUGCAGUGAUCACAGCGAUGAGCGCAUUGCUAACUGCAAAUAUAUAGGUUCCACCUGCGGCACUGAACAAUUCAGAUGCAACAAUGGUUUCUGUAUCCCCAAGAGAUGGCGCUGCGAUCAAGAGAGCGAUUGCGCCGAUCGCUCCGAUGAGGCUACGUCGCUAUGCAUGAAUUUCUGCACACCGACCGAGGUGAAGUGCAAGAAUGCCGAACAAUGCAUACCACGCUCUUGGGUAUGCGAUGGCAGUCCUGAUUGCCGUGACCAAUCCGAUGAAGCUGAUUGCAAAACAAAAACCUGUUCACCCGAUGAGUAUUCAUGUAAAUCCGGCGAGGGUGAAUGCAUUCCAUUAGCAUGGAUGUGUGAUCAGAGCAAAGAUUGCUCCGAUGGUUCCGAUGAGGCUUCAUGCAAUGAGACCUGCCGCUCCGAUGAGUUCACCUGCGGCAAUGGACGUUGUAUACAGAAACGUUGGGUUUGCGACCAGGACGACGACUGUGGUGAUGGCAGCGAUGAGCGCGACUGCCCGCCGAAAACAUGCAAUCCAAAUACCGAGUUCUCUUGUCGCGAUGGCGGUUGUGUCGCCAAACGUUGGGUGUGCGAUGGUGAACCGGAUUGCGUGGAUGGCUCCGAUGAGCAGCAAUCCUGCGACAAGAAUGCCACACACGUUAUAACGCCGUGUCUGUCACACGAAUAUCAAUGCCGCGAUCGUAUUACCUGCCUACACCACAGCUGGCUGUGUGACGGCGAAAAAGACUGUCCCCAUGGCGAUGAUGAGCUGCAGGAGAAUUGUCGCAACAGCACAUGCCGGCCGGAUCAGUUCCAGUGUGGCGAUCGCUCCUGCAUAGCGGGACAUUUAACGUGCAACGGGCAGGCCGAUUGUGCGGAUCGCAGUGAUGAGCAGAUGUGUGGCAUUUCGAAAAUCACCAAAUGUAAUGCCACGGCACACUUCGAUUGCGGCGGCGGGCAAUGUAUUCCACUGUCGAAGGUUUGCGAUCGCAAAAAGGACUGCCCGGAUGGUGAGGAUGAACCGGCGGGCAAAUGUUCUGUGAAUGAAUGUGCGGUGAAUAACGGCGGUUGCAUGCACAAAUGCAUUGACCAACCGAUUGGCUAUCGCUGUAAAUGCAACUCUGGCUACAAACUGACCGAAACAAACAAAACCUGCGUAGACAUUAACGAAUGCGAAGAUCCGGGCGCUUGCUCACAAAUCUGCAUCAACGAAGUUGGCGGCUUCAAAUGUGAAUGCGAGGCGGGCUAUAUGCGGGAUCCACGCAAUCAUACGCGUUGCAAAGCGACCGAGGGACAUGCAUCGUUAUUGUUGGCGCGACGUCAUGACAUCAGAAAAAUCGCUUUGGACCACAUGGAAAUGACAUCGAUUGUGAAUAAUACGAAAUCGGCAACUGCAUUGGAUUUUGUCUUCCGCACUGGCAUGAUAUUCUGGAGCGAUGUGUCCACACAAAGCAUUUAUAAAGCUCCCAUCGACGAGGGCAACGACAAAUCCAUUGUGCUCAAGGACCACUCAGUAACAUCAGAUGGCUUGGCCGUCGAUUGGAUUUACAAUCACAUCUACUUCACGGACACGCACAAAUGCACCCUCGAGUUGACAAACUUUGACGGCAACAUGGGUAAGGUACUCAUCGAAGACGGACUUGAUAUACCGCGCUCAAUUGCACUAGAUCCGAUCGAGGGUUGGAUGUAUUGGUCCGAUUGGGGCGCUUCACCGCGCAUCGAACGCGCCGGCAUGGACGGUUCACAUCGCACCACCAUCAUCAACUACGAUGUGAAGUGGCCAAACGGUAUCACAUUAGAUCUGGUACGCAAGCGCAUCUAUUGGGUUGACGGUAAAUUGAAUAUUAUCGCGUCAGCAAAUUACGAUGGUUCGCAGCGUCGUCAGAUCUUGUACUCAACGGAUUAUCUGCGCCACCCCUUCUCGAUAACCACAUUUGAGGAUAACAUCUAUUGGUCCGAUUGGGAUAAGCAGACCGUCUUCAAGGCGAAUAAAUUUAAUGGCAAAGGAGUGGAGGCAGUAACAGCACUGCAUCAGCUACAACAUCCAAUGGUCGUACACGUCUACCAUCCCUACCGCCAACCGGACGGCAUCAAUCACUGUCAAGCGGUGAAUGGUCAUUGCUCGCAUUUAUGCCUACCAGCGCCGCGCAUCAAUGAACGCAGCCCGCGCAUCUCCUGCGCCUGUCCCACCGGUCUCAAGCUGAUGGAGGAUCGGCUAAUGUGUGUCGAAGAUUUAAAUACAAAGUCAGCGUCGCAAGCGCGCCGCAAAAACUUGCCAAAGAUGUCUAAAUUUUCGACCGGUCGUAUUUCUACCAACAACAAUAACAGCAACGACACUGCUCAACAAGCAACAACCGCUCCAAAUGAGGAAGAGGUGGAUAACCACCAGGCUGGUAAUACGACAAAUGCCGACGGCAGCAUCAUCUCACCGCAAACUGAUUCCAGUUACUUAGCAUUAACGAUAGUCGGUUCACUAGUCGGCUUCGGACUGGUGACAGGUGUGAUACUUUGGGUCGUUUAUCGUCAUUGCAGCAGGCGGCCCACCUCAAUGAACUUUGAAAAUCCGGUUUACCGUAAAACCACCGAAGAUCACUUUAGUUUGGAGAAGAAUAAUCUGCCGGCGCGCAUGUAUCCGAGCACAGUAGACGAAGAGCUGCAUUUUUCGCAGAGAAGACUGUUCGCGCAGUAUUGAAAAUUUUCCGCAAAAUGAGCGUCAGAAAUGCGUUCACGUGCAAAAGCAUACUAAAUGAAAUGUGAAAUGCAUUCAAGAGUAAAUGAGAGUUAGUAAAAUUAAAUCAAAUUUACCUAAAAGUAAUUUUAACCAAAAUGUAUUUUUUUUAUUUUGUAAUAUUUUUUAUUAUAAAAAAAAUUCAAUGCCAGACAUUGGUAAUUUUUGAUUAUUAUUGAAAGUUAUACGCAUUAGCAACUCAGAUAAAUAAGCUGUCUUCGGUUAUACCACUUAAAUUGAUCUGCAUACUCUCUUGUCUGAAGCUAACUCGAUAACUUUGUUGUUACUUUUAUAUGCAAGUUUUCUGACAGAAGAGCAAAGCGCAAAGAUAGCAAGCAGAGAAAUGGUGAGUCGAAGACAGCUAUACAAAUACAUAUAUGUAUUAAAAUAUCUUUUUAGUUUGAGUUCAUAUUUUAUUAUUUGAAUUCUUGAAUUUCUUGUAACUUUUUUGUUAGAUUUAUUUUUUAAUGUAAUAUUAAUACAUUAUCUGCUCAAUAAAGAAGUCCCAAUAGUGCAAUUUGAUUACGCAGAAGCAACAUAAAUAUUAAAAAAUAAAAAUGUAUUUAUCUAUUUACAACUUUCUAUAAGAAAAACGUUUAUUUUAAAUGAAAUGAAAUAAGAUUCUAGUCAGAUAUUCAUCAAUUGUUUAACAAGAGUCGUAAACGGUUUUAUUUUUUUACUUUUCAAAGAUUGAUAAGUAAAGAAUAUGAAAACUAUUUCAGAACUAUGCUUCGGACUUUAAUCGAUUCAGGCAAUGCUGCAGUUUUUUCACUGACGAUUUUUUAGUUGUUUCGUGAAAUGUUCAGUAAGAGAAAAUAUAAAAUAUAAUAUGUCUAUUUGGGACUGGGAGAAAGGUAUGAACCUUCUACCUGGUAUAAACCUAUCUUCGCUGCAGGAUAAUAUUUUUAGACAAAAACUAUAAUAAAUAAUGAUAGAUUAAAAUCAUUAAUGGCAUCACAAAGCACUUAAACUGCAAGUCAUCUAUUAUGCCUACUUUGAUUUUGAAUUUGAGUUUUUUAAAAAGCUACAAUAUUACCCAUUUCCAUGUCACUCAGGUAUUCUGCCUGUAAUGCAGACGCUUGUGUCAUUCCUUCAAAAAGAAACAUUUGAAACGAAACAAAAUUGAAAUACAAAUUUAGUUCACUUAACCAUACGCUUACACAAUUUUCAUUUAUUGAAAUAUUUCUUAGUUUGAUUUCUCUAUUAUUUUCUCAACAAAUUCAGUUGAAUUAAAUAAACCUUUUAUAGUGCAUAAAAAAUCAGAUGAAUUGUGUAUGUACAAUACAUAUACAUAUACACACUUAUAAUGAUGCAAAGAAAAAUCUAAAAAAAAGACUAGCAUAAGCUAUUAACUAAAUACUGGAAAAAGAAAAAUAUUAUUAUAAUGUUUAAAAGAUAUUUAGAGGUAAUAUUAAAUCUUGAUGUAAGUAUUUAGUUAAUAAGUAUCUAAGCAUUUUAAUUGAAAAGUAAAGUAAAUAAAAUAAAAUUUAACUAAAUUAAUUAAUAUUAACAUUUACUAUACAUACAAAAAAGUGGCAUAAGUGCUGCAACACGUACCUACACGCAUAAUAAACAGCCACAACAACAAAACGUACCCACUAACAACAAACAAACACGCGCAAAAGAAUAAAAAAUCAACACAUAUAAUCCAAGUAAACAUUUGUAAUACAUACAAAUUUAGAAAUUCAUCGUUCCCGACAUUUACUUGCAUUAUUUAAUACUAAUACUAGUUGUUAGUACCAGUAUUAGGUAUAAUAUAUGCUAGUUGUUAGACGAUAUCGCGGUUUUCACUUCAGAAUUGUUUAAAUAGCUUUAUCUUAACUGUACUAAAAGUUUUUCAAUUGCUGCAAACCCAAAUACAGAAGUACAGAAGAAGGCAAUACCAAACACUGAAAGAUUAUUUUCAUCUUUCCUUCAAGUUCUACAAUAUUUUCUUUUGUUCUGCUUUUGAAGACGCUCAUCCUCCCGAAAUAUUCUUGAUGCAUGACAAUAUCUAAAGACAAAAUUAACAUAAUUUUCAAAGAAAAAAGGCAUUUUUUGUCAAGUUUUGUUAUUUCCACGCUAACACAUACAAACUAGGCAUUUUGGGCGUUGGCGCACUUAACAUGCUGGUACAGGCACUCAUAAUUAUGCGCAAUAAAAGGUUUUAUGUCGCUUAAUAAAUUAAACAAAUGUUAACACAGAAAACCUACCAUUCGUUCGCUUAUCAACAACAACAACAUUGACACAAUAUUUAUUGAGAAAUACAUAUCCUUAAAAUAUGCACGCGGUCACAUGCAAAUAAACAUUUUAAUACAAAAAAAAUUUUAAAAAACAACGGUAGAAAAUGCUGACAUAUAAUGGAUUGCUACGAACGGUCGUAAUAUGGGAGAGUAAACGAAAAAGUGCCAGUGAAAUGAGCAUGCAGCCAUUUGUUGCAAGUACACAUAUUGAUACAAAGCAACCCGCAAACAUUAUUUUUACAUGAAAACAAAUUACUUGCGUCCUGCAUUACCACCACCACAACACACACACACCGACUUUUUCUAUAGUAUUACAUCUUCUUUGUAUGGUCUUACAUGCGUGUGCAGCAAAAUUAUUACAAAAUUUAUCUCUGUCGCAAGGGAACUCGUGGUUUUCAAGUAUAUGCAAUGAAAAAUUAUUAAGCACGUUUUCAUAGAAUAUCAGAAGUAUUUCAGUAUGGUGUAACUUCUAAAUAUAAUUUCUAUAACAUUUUGUCGUAGAGCUAUCAUAUUAUUUCAUUCGAGUCAUCUAAUAUCGGCAUAGUGAAUUAUGACAGUAGUCUAAAAGUAAUUAAUCUGACAGAAGUAUAAGUGAAAAUUACUUUACACAAUCACAAAGCGUCUUUUACAUAAAUAUUAUACUCUUUGCCAUUAAAUAAGUUUAAAUGUCAAUUGCUAACAAAAUGAUUUUAAAUACCAAAACAUUCAUUACUAACUGCUGUUUUUGUUGAACUAAUAUUAAAAUUAAAUAUGUUAUUGCUUACUUCAUUACUAAAACCUGUGCUUUUAAUAAUUUUGUAUUAAUAUUUUGCCCCACAAUUUAGUAAAAAAAAUACAAGAAGCUUUACGUUUUUAUGAUAUUCAAAAUUAGUCAUAUCAAUUUCGUUUUUCUGGUUCUACCCUUUUCCCGCACAUAUUUUAGAUUAGAGAUAUCUCCCCAUACUCGUACAAGCCAUAUUAAAUACUUAUUUUACAUGGAAAUAAUCACUAAAUAUGUCACAUGUACGCACAGGUAUUAAACUUCAUUGACAUUAGCCAGGCAGAUCGCUCAUACGCCCGUACAACUUACUAUUACACUAGUAGAUUAGUCAUACGCCCUGGAUCACCAUUUAUAUCCUUAUUAUCUCAUAAAUCUUUUCUUUCACACAUUAUCUUUCUACUUAUCAAAACUCACAUACGGCAUGUCUCAAUUUGUGUUUUCGCAUCGGCGUACCAAUACAACUGCAUUGGCGUAUAUCUAAUGUGCGAAUUUUUUUACGAAUUAUUAAGAAUUGGUCCUCGUAUGCGCGUAAAACGCAGAAUGAGAUACCAAUUCUAUUACAACUAAAACAUAACCCAUAACACAACAUCUUCAGCCAGUUCACGCUGUGGAAAAGCAGCAUAUAUAUUUAAUUUCAAUUAUUUUUUUCGCACAACAUUUAAAUUCUUGUUGAUUUAUUUAUGCACACAUGAAACAGUGAACCGCGCUGCAUAAAGCAAGUAAAUGAAAACAGUAGCAACAUCAACACAGAUAACAAGACAUACAUAUGUUCAACUUUUAAGAAAUUAUAACCUCAGCAACCUCACCAGCAUUAGAUCAACACACAUGAAAUUCAUAUAGUGCACUCGUAAUACGCAAUUUCUUGCAUUUGAAAAAUUGUCACUGCUCCACAUUUGCCCUUUGUUGGUUUUCUUUUCGUGUUGCGUUUUUUCUUCUCUCUUUCUCUCCCCUGAAAUUACCAUGCUGCGAGCGGGCGCACUUGCAAGCCAGUCGCCAAUGGGAGAUAAAAAAGCUAUUGCCAGAAGCCAGAAGAAAUUGCAUUUUCACAUUGUUCUCAUACAUAACACGAAAUGCAUUUGCUUUUGGAAGUAAGAGGCAUGGCAAUGUUUUGUAGUUAACGGGGCGAACAAGCAGCUUUUCACUUAGCGUCCAAAGAACCGUUGAACGCCGAAGCUGGCACGGAGUGUGUGUGAAGUGCUUAUGCUAUUAGCUGAUUACUGUCAUUACGCUCAUAAUUAUGAAAUUCUUUUUAUUAUUUUUGUUUUCGUUUUGCUUAUUACAAAAUCAUGCCUAACUCAACACCACAUAUCCCUCAUCCAAACACACCAACAAACAUCGCACACCAUCUCAGUCUGAAGCUACAUAGAUGGACGACACGCCCAUAUCAUAUACUCGUUUUACAAAAAAUUUAAAAAAAUUGGUGAAAAAUGUGAAAAGGCGAACAAAUAAUAAAAGACAGAUCACUUUCAAUAAACCGUGGAUAAUACCGGAGGAGAAUACUGAGUGUAUCGUCAUGUUAGCAAAUGUAUUGUAUUAUCAGAAAUGAAAACUAGUAAAAAGCUUAAAGUACAGUUUCUAUGAUGCAAAUAAAAUAAAGAAGACAAUUUAAGCAAUUUACUAAUAAAAAUCAAUAUAAUUAAACAGGUUUGAUGCAAUUCUUUGAAACAUAUAGCAAAACUGGAAGGAGUACAGUCAUACAAAAUGAUAUUUUCCCUCUGUUGGCGUAACAACAAUGAUAAAUAAAACAGAAAACUAAACGAAACAACAUAAAAUAUAAUAAAAUGGAAUACCACAAUGCUGUUUUCGUUAGGGAAACUAGUUCUGUAAUUGGGAAUGUUAAACACUCCAAAUACAAACAAAUAUACCGACUGCCUCGAAAGACAUUUUUCAAACUGAAUCCAGAUUGACACACUUAAACUUACACUUCCUCAAUAAGAACUACCACAACACACCCGCAAAUGGCCAGCAUAACACAGACACAUUCGAACGCGCAACCAGGAAACGCACAAGAAAAUGAGCGAGUUUUGAAGUCAAUUAACUGUGCAACAAAAACUAUACACACACAUACACAAACCCACGCAAACGCACUCACUAUCAACCUAAAGUAGAAAAUAAUUAAAUUUGGUCGAAUUCAGCCCGGACUCUUGAAAAGGCUACACUCUCGCUGCUGACACACACACUCUUUACUCCACACAUACUUUAUGGUACGCCAAUGCCUUGUAGCACGUACACACACUUACACACAAGCACGCACAUGUAAAUACCUACACAAAUGUAUGUUUUUAAUUUGUUUAGAAUUGUUGAGUCUUUAAUUGAAUUAUUUGAAAUUUCGAAAAAAUAACACUUCUGUAACUUUUAAGCGCUUGGAAAGCCAAAAAAAUGUAUAAAUUUAAAACCUAUUUAUUCUUAGUACAAUGCAAGAAAAAAUCAAUUUUAAUUAAAACUAAUAGAUAAAUGAAAUCAAAAAUUGGAAACUGUCACUGAAAAAUAUUUGUACAAUAUAUUUGUAUGAAAGGAGAAAUAUUUUAAAAUACAAAAACUUGGUCAUGUAUUCGUAUAAAAUAUACGCACACACGCACCUACACUUGCGUACAAAACACCACUAACCCAGCCACAGACACGACAAUAGCCAUAAAAACAGUUAUAAAUUACCGAAAACACAAUUGGAAAAACACAAAAAAAA